AUUGAACGCUGGCGGCAGGCCUAACACAUGCAAGUCGAGCGAGCGGCGGACGGGUGAGUUAUGCCUGGGACUUGCCGAGUCGAGGGGGAUAACAGUUGGAAACGACUGCUAAUACCGCAUACGAUUGGAUUGCCUCGGUGGGAUUAGCGAGUGGGUGAGGUAAUGCCUCACCAAGGCGACGAUCCCUAGCUGGUCUGAGAGGAGGAGCAGCCACACUGGAACUGAGACACGGUCCAGACUCUUCCGGGAGGCAGCAGUGGGGAAUAUUGCACAAUGGGGGAAAGCCUGAUGCAGCCAUGCCGCGUUUAUGAAGAAGGCCUUAGGGUUGGAAAGGACUUUCAGCGAGGAGGCGUUACUCGCAGAAGAAGCACCGGCUAACUCCGUGCCAGCAGCCGCGGUAAUAC
rnacentral:rRNA from 1 species